rnacentral:lncRNA from 1 species
AACUUAGAUAACUACCUGGCAGAUAUCCUUUGAUUUGUAUUCCUGCAUUAAGUAGAGGGGUGGACUCGAUGGCCGUAUAGGCUCCUUCCAACUUCAUUAUUCUAUGAUUCUGUGGAGUUCUUCCCCCCUUAAUUCUGCUAAAGCUUUUAGUGUCACUUUAUGAUAUAAAUUUAAGCAGUGAUAUAAAAUAAACUAGAUUGUUAAAAAACUCUUUGCACUGGAAUCUGUAUCUAAUUUGAUAUUUAAAUAUAUCCCACUAGCCUACUGCAACUGAACAUCAUAGUUUACGAACUUAUAAAAGUAAUACAAGGUGUUUGACUCUUGUUAUCUGUCUGUCUGUCUAUUUUGCAGUUCAAAGUGAUGUACGAAAGGACGAGUUUUAUCAAAGUUGUUAUAAGCCACUGUAUGAAGUUGAUGCCCAAAAAGCCUUUACAUCAGUGAAGAAAGCUAUCGUGUUUUAUAACCAAAGGAACGCUAAUUGGGGAAUUGAUUGAAAGGCAAUAAAAUUCUGUUUCCUAAGUCA